rnacentral:lncRNA from 10 species
UUAUAGUCAAUACUCCUCUUAUUUCAGCUUAUAAUAAGGUUUCAUACCUCCUAUUAACAAAAAAUAAAAUUAUAUGCUAGCUGCUGGACCAAUUGGUUUCUUUUUCAUUAAAUACAUGGAAAAUUUAAUUUUAAGGUCUAAUGAAAUUAAUGGAGCUGUUUUGGCCUUUUCAAUGCAUUACUUAAUUACAUUAUCCCCAAAAGCUGUCUACCAGAAUUCAAUACCUACAUGAAUACACAUUUACUAAAGGAGUACCUUGCCUUCUGUAAUACUCAUCACAUUAAUAAUAAUUAAUAAUUUUAGCCACACAUCACACUAGAUAAUUAUAAAAUAAUCAGAACUUAUGUUAUCUUCUUGUUUAAGUAACUUGGAUAUGACUACUUACAUUAGAUCUGCAUCAAUUUAAUCUUGACCUGGCUGCUUUAGUAAUAUUUCUUACAAUAUACACUCCAAAAUGCAUCUUUUCAAGUUUUAAAAAUAUUAUUCCUUAAAAUUUGUGUUUAACACAUUUUUUUUUUGAGACACGUCUUACUCUGUCUCCCAGGCUGGAGUGCAGUGGCGCAAUCAUGACUCACUGCAGCCUACACCUCCUAGGCUCAAGCGAUCCUCCCACCUCAGCCCUCAAAGUAGCUGGGACUAUGGGUGCCUCCCACCACACCCGGAUAAUUUGCAUUUUUUGUAGAAGAGGGUUUUGCCAUGUUGCCCAGGCUGGUCUUGAACUCCUGGGCUCAAGAGAUCCCUCUGCCUUGGCCUCCCAAAGUGUUAGAAUUACAGGCAUGAGCCCCCGCACCCAGCCAACACAUUUAUUUGAAUUGAAAAAUGACAUCAGACUCUUUCUGACAGAAAUUAAGUCAGAGUCCGAUUUGGCUGAUUGGUUUGAUAAUGAGGCCCAGCUUUGCCAAAAAUGUUCUAGUAAACAUGUUUCAGAAUGCUUAUUACUGAACGAUCUAAAUGGAAUCUCUGAAGUUUUGAUAAAAUAAAGGAUGCAAUAAAACAAAAGCAUUUAAAUAAAAAAUAUUGGGUGAUAUGGCAGAAGGAUUCUAAACUGGCUCCCAUAAUCCUUGCUUCCUGGUAUCCUUGCCUUUGUGUAAUCCCCUCCCUUUGAGUGUGGAUGGGACCCUGGACUUGCUUCUAACCAAGGGAACACAGCAAGAAUGAUGGAAUGAAUGUGAUAAUGUGAUAUAAGAUUGCAAUGCCAGUUUUGUUAGGAGAGACUCCCUUGCUGGCCUCGAAAAAGCGUGGCCAUGCUGUGAAGACCCACGUGGCAAGGAGCCGAGGAUGCCCUUCAGCUGACAGCCAGCAAAGAACUGAAUACUGCCAACAGCCAUGUGAACUUAGAUGAAUCCACUCCCAGCCAUGCCUCAGAGGAGACUGCUGUCCCAGCCAACACCUUGACUGCAGCCUCGUGAGACCCUGAAGGAGAGGACUCAGCCAAGUCAUGCCUGGACUCCUGACCUACAGAAAUGUAUGGGGCUUGGACAAUGUGAACUGAGUUAAUCCUUUACUGCACAGCAGGGCAUGGCUGUUGUUCGCUGAAGGGCAGAGAAGUGCCUUGCUGGUUGCACUUGCUGGAAAUCUACCCUAUUGGCUGCCAGGGAAAGUUGCUCAACCCACCCUGCUACAAAACUGACUGGAAGGGUGGGGGCCAAGGGAAGCUGCCGGCUGCUGGGUGCUGCUGACUACUGUGCACUGCAGUAGCUGGGCACUGGAGAAGCUGUGAUCCUUGGAGGAGGCUGCACAUGGGAACUAGGAAGUAAAAUGCUUUUCUCUUUCAGUAUCACUCUAGCACCCCAAAGCUUCAGCGCCAGCCACCAAAGGAAAAAUGUUUAAAGGGCCCAGAUCAACUUUACAGAGGAAACAGACAAGGGUGAAUUUGAGCUGAGAGGCAAUAUAUAGAUAAUGGGCACAGCCACACUGCAAGGAAUGCUGGGAAAUAUAGCCCACCCGCAUAUUUACCUAACAAUCUUAUUACUGAAAGAGAAGAAAAAUGAUUUUGGUGGACAGGUAGCACUCUCUGCCACAUGAUAUUUCUUAGACUUAAAAUGGAAAAAUAGGAAUAGAAUUGAUGCUAAACCCAUCUCAUUCUUGCAGUGAACUAGUGGACAAAACCAAUAACACUCCCAUCUAGCUCAUUCAGAGAUUCAAUUCAGACAGAUUUUUACUUUUUAUGUUUAAUAAGUGUAUAUCAGAUUUGGUGAUAUAUUUAUGUUUUUUGAUCAAUUGUGAACUAAUA